rnacentral:rRNA from 1 species
GACGUAGGGCGCGAGCGUUGUCCGGAUUUAUUGGGCGUAAAGAGCUCGUAGGCGGCUUGUUACGUCGUUCGUGAAAACUUGGGGCUCAACCCCAAGCUUGCGGUCGAUACGGGCAGGCUAGAGUUCGGUAGGGGAGACUGGAAUUCCUGGUGUAGCGGUGAAAUGCGCAGAUAUCAGGAGGAACACCUAUGGCGAAGGCAGCUUACUGGGCAUUAUCUGACGCUGAGGUGCGAAAGCGUGGGGAGCAAACAGG